GACAGAGGCCUCAAGCGUUAGGCGGAAUCACUGGGCUUAAAGCGUGUGUAGGCGGACGCCUAAGUGUCUUGUGAAAUCCCCCGGCUCACCCGGGGAACUGCUGGGCAUACUGGGCGUCUUGGGCCAACUAGGGGCAACUGGAACAAGCGGUGGAGCGGUGAAAUGCGUAGAUAUCGCUUGGAACGCCGAAGGUGAAAACAGGUCGACUGGGGGAUGUGCCGACGCUGAGACACGAAAGCCAGGGGAGGCAAAACGGG
rnacentral:rRNA from 1 species